AUUGAACGCUGGCGGCAGGCCUAACACAUGCAAGUCGAGCGGAUGAAGGGAGCUUGCUCCUGGAUUCAGCGGCGGACGGGUGAGUAAUGCCUAGGAAUCUGCCUGGUAGUGGGGGAUAACGUCCGGAAACGGGCGCUAAUACCGCAUACGUCCUGAGGGAGAAAGUGGGGGAUCUUCGGACCUCACGCUAUCAGAUGAGCCUAGGUCGGAUUAGCUAGUUGGUGGGGUAAAGGCCUACCAAGGCGACGAUCCGUAACUGGUCUGAGAGGAUGAUCAAUCACACUGGAACUGAGACACGGUCCAGACUCCUACGGGAGGCAGCAGUGGGGAAUAUUGGACAAUGGGCGAAAGCCUGAUCCGGCCAUGCCGCGUGUGUGAAGAAGGUCUUCGGAUUGUAAAGCACUUUAAGUUGGGAGGAAGGGCAGUAAGUUAAUACCUUGCUGUUUUGACGUUACCAACAGAAUAAGCACCGGCUAACUUCGUG
rnacentral:rRNA from 1 species